GACGAACGCUGGCGGCGUGCCUAACACAUGCAAGUCGAACGGAACUGUUUUGAAAGAUUUCUUCGGAAUGAAUUUGAUUUAGUUUAGUGGCGGACGGGUGAGUAACGCGUGAGUAACCUGCCUUCAAGAGGGGAAUAACAUUCUGAAAAGAAUGCUAAUACCGCAUGACAUAUCGGAACCACAUGGUUUUGAUAUCAAAGAUUUUAUCGCUUGAAGAUGGACUCGCGUCCGAUUAGUUAGUUGGUGAGGUAACGGCUCACCAAGACCGCGAUCGGUAGCCGGACUGGGGGGUUGAACGGCCACAUUGGGACUGAGACACGGCCCAGACUCCUACGGGAGGCAGCAGUGGGGGAUAUUGCGCAAUGGGGGCAACCCUGACGCAGCAACGCCGCGUGAAGGAUGAAGGUUUUCGGAUUGUAAACUUCUUUUAUUAAGGACGAAAAAUGACGGUACUUAAUGAAUAAGCUCCGGCUAACUACGUG
rnacentral:rRNA from 1 species